AUUGAACGCUGGCGGCAGGCCUAACACAUGCAAGUCGAGCGGAUGACGGGAGCUUGCGCCUUGAUUCAGCGGCGGACGGGGGAGUAAUGCCUAGGAAUCUGCCUGGUAGUGGGGGGCAACGUUUCGAAAGGAACGCUAAUACCGCAUACGUCAUACGGGAGAAAGCAGGGGACCUGCGGGCCUUGCGCUAUUAGAUGAGCUGAGGUCGGUUUAGCUAGUUGGUGGGGGAAUGGCUCACGAAGGCGACGAUCCGUAACUGGUCUGAGAGGAUGAUCAGUCACACUGGAACUGAGACACGGUCCAGACUCCUACGGGAGGCAGCAGUGGGGAAUAUUGGACAAUGGGGGAAAGCCUGAUCCAGCCAUGCCGCGUGUGUGAAGAAGGUCUUCGGAUUGUAAAGCACUUUAAGUUGGGAGGAAGGGCAGUAAGUUAAUACCUUGCUGUUUUGACGUUACCGACAGAAUAAGCACCGGCUAACUCUGUGCCAGCAGCCGCCGUAA
rnacentral:rRNA from 1 species